GGCUCAGGACGAACGCUGGCGGCGUGCUUAACACAUGCAAGUCGAACGAUGAACCACUUCGGUGGGGAUUAGUGGCGAACGGGUGAGUAACACGUGGGCAAUCUGCCCUUCACUCUGGGACAAGCCCUGGAAACGGGGUCUAAUACCGGAUACAACACUCUCGGGCAUCCGAUGAGUGUGGAAAGCUCCGGCGGUGAAGGAUGAGCCCGCGGCCUAUCAGCUUGUUGGUGAGGUAACGGCUCACCAAGGCGACGACGGGUAGCCGGCCUGAGAGGGCGACCGGCCACACUGGGACUGAGACACGGCCCAGACUCCUACGGGAGGCAGCAGUGGGGAAUAUUGCACAAUGGGCGAAAGCCUGAUGCAGCGACGCCGCGUGAGGGAUGACGGCCUUCGGGUUGUAAACCUCUUUCAGCAGGGAAGAAGCGAAAGU
rnacentral:rRNA from 1 species